rnacentral:rRNA from 1 species
GUGUCAGCAGCCGCGGUAAUACGUAGGGGGCGAGCGUUGUCCGAAGUUACUGGGCGUAAAGCGCGCGUAGGCGGCCUUUUAAGUGACUGGUGAAAUCCCCGGGCUCAACUCGGGAGUGUCUGGUCAUACUGGGAGGCUCGAGUGUGGGAGAGGAGAGCGGAACUCCUGGUGUAGCGGUGAUAUGCGUAGAGAUCAGGAAGAACACCCGUGGCGAAGGCGGCUCUCUGGACCACAACUGACGCUGAGGUGCGAAAGCCAGGGGAGCGAACGGGAUUAGAUACCCCGGUAGUCCUGGCCCUAAACGAUGGAUACUAGGUGUGGGGGGUAUCGACCCCUCCCGCGCCGCAGCUAACGCAAUAAGUAUCCCGCCUGGGGAGUACGGCCGCAAGGUUGAA